GAUGAACGCUGGCGGCGUGCUUAACACAUGCGAGUCGAACGAGAAGUGAAGACGGAAACCUUCGGGCGGAAGGCUUUAUUUCGAGUGGCGGACGGGUGAGUAACGCGUGGGUAACCUGCCUCAUACAGGGGGAUAACAGUUGGAAACGACUGUUAAUACCGCAUAAGACCACAGCACCGCAUGGUGCGGGGGUAAAAACUCCGGUGGUAUGAGAUGGACCCGCGUUCGAUUAGCCAGUUGGCGGGGUAACGGCCCACCAAAGCGACGAUCGAUAGCCGAUCUGAGAGGAUGACCGGCCACAUUGGGACUGAGACACGGCCCAAACUCCUACGGGAGGCAGCAGUGGGGAAUAUUGCACAAUGGGGGAAACCCUGAUGCAGCGACGCCGCGUGAGUGAAGAAGUAUUUCGGUAUGUAAAGCUCUAUCAGCAGGGAAGAAAAUGACGGUACCUGAGUAAGAAGCCCCGGCUAACUACGUG
rnacentral:rRNA from 1 species